GUGACUGUGAGAAGAGAAGGUGAUAUUCUAUAUGUUGGGUAUAAUAAUAUUCAUCUUCUUCUAGGUGAUCAGAUCUUCUGAAGACCUACCACUUAUUUACUCACUCAAUCAGUAAGUGGUGAAUUUAAAUGCUGAAACAGUACUACUCAACAUACCUUCUGUGAGUCAACUGUUAUGAGCAACACCUGGAUCUCAUUAGAAAUGCAGAAUACGAGGUCCCAUCCAAGACUCAGUGAGUAAGAAUUUCCAGAGUUGAGCCCAGGACUGUCUACCUGCUUUAACAAGCCCUCCAACAGAAUCUCCAUGUACUAGAUUUCGAGAUGUGCUAGGCUGAAGUAUGUGCAUCCUUCAGAAAUCAAAAUCUUCUGGAUUCAUUUUACAUUUAAUCGUCCUUCACUAUUUCCCUUUAGUACUAUCUCUACUAGAAAGUCACUGAACCAUCAAUCUUCCAAUCAAC
rnacentral:lncRNA from 10 species